rnacentral:rRNA from 1 species
CUGCAGAAUUCAUAUGCUUAUCCCCACGAUUAAGCCAUGCAUGCCUACGAAAAAUCGGCGGAACCGACCGUGCGGCCCAACCCCGUGAGGGGUUUGGUCCGCCGACUGGGGGCUGAUGACUCAGCGAACGGCUCCGUAUAUCUGUUGUAACCUAUCGUGGUAAAUUUGGCGUGGAUAUCCACGGAAAAUCUGUGGGUAAGCCAGCCAAUUGGGGCACUCGUCUGGCAGUCCUAGCAUGUUGUGACCAGUCAUAAGUGGCUCCAUGACCCUAAAGGCUUGGAGCCCGCCUCAUUAACCGCUCCCAAAGUACCAGCCUCCCGGCUUAACUGGGGCUAAAGGUUGGGAAACGGAGGCCUCUGUCUGCCUGGUGUGCCCCCCAGCCGGCAAGUUUGCCGGCAAGGUGCCCAGGUGCCGCAGAGACUAACCACAAGCGCACGAUGGGCUUCAGACCUAUCAGCUAGUUGGUAGGGUAUUGGCCUACCAAGGCUAUGACGGGUACAGAGGAUCGGGGUUUGAUCCUGGAGAGGUAGCCUGAGAAAUCGCUCCCACUUCUAAGGAAGGCAGCAGGCGCGGAACGUUCCCAAUGCCGGGCAACCGGUGAGGACGCGAUGGGAUAUAACAAUGCCCCCAAGAAAAUUUUGGUGGGUAAUUGCCAAUGACCCGG